ensembl:lncRNA novel transcript
AGACCCGGUGAGAGGUACUGGGCGAUGAGGAAGUACAGCUCCAACUCCAUGAGAGGCACCGGGCCUCAGAACCAGGAAGAUCCGGAUAAAGACACUGUCUGCACUCUACUCAGAUGCCCUUUGAGUCUAUGCGCUGUUUCUGGGCUCAUCCUCCAGCCUCAACGUGUUUGCUGCCACACAGCAUGUCCUGUGGGACUGGAGAAAUAUGGAGAAUGCAGCACACUUGCUUCCUACUGAA